UUCCAGACUCCUACGGGAGGCAGCAGUGGGGAAUAUUGCACAAUGGGGGGAACCCUGAUGCAGCGACGCCGCGUGGGUGAAGGAGCACCUCGGUGCGUAAAGCCCUAUCGGCAGGGAAGAAACAGACGGUACCUGACUAAGAAGCCCCGGCUAACUACGUGCCAGCAGCCGCGGGAAUACGGAGGGGGCAAGCGUUAUCCGGAUUUACUGGGUGUAAAGGGGGCGCAGACGGCAGCGCAAGCCAGGAGUGAAAGCCCGGGGCCCAACCCCGGGACUGCUCUUGGAACUGCGCGGCUGGAGUGCAGGAGGGGCAGGCGGAAUUCCUGGUGUAACGGUGAGAUGCGUAGAUAUCAGGAGGAACACCGGUGGCGAAGGCGGCCUGCUGGACUGCGACUGACGUUGAGGCCCGAAAGCGUGGGGAGCAAACAGGAUUAGAUACCCUGGUAG
rnacentral:rRNA from 1 species